rnacentral:rRNA from 1 species
UACAGAGGGUGCAAGCGUUAAUCGGAAUUACUGGGCGUAAAGCGUGCGUAGACGGUUCCGUAAGUCGGGUGUGAAAGCCCCGGGCUCAACCUGGGAAUUGCAUUCGAGACUGCGAAGCUAGGGUGCGGAAGAGGGAAGCGGAAUUUCUGGUGUAGCGGUGAAAUGCGUAGAUAUCAGAAGGAACAUCAGUGGCGAAAGCGGCUUCCUGGUCCAGCGCCGACGUUCAGGCACGAAAGCGUGGGGAGCAAACAGG